UAUUAUGUUGCCGUGGGCUCGAACUCUGCAAGAAGUUAAAAAAUUUUUUUGACUAAAACACAACUGGAACUCUAAGUAAGGCAUGUGUAAAAUUUGAAUGAAAUUGGUUGCGUAGUUCUCGAGUUUUAGGGAUACACACACACACACACACACAGACAGACAGACACACAUUCUCAUUUUUAUAUAUAUAGAUGGUGACAAUGAUCAUAACAAUGAUAAGGAUAAUGAUGAUGGUGGUGAUGAUGAUGAUGAUGAUGACAACAAUAAUGAUGAUGAUGACGACUGAUGAUGAUGAUGAUGAUGAUUAUGAUGGUGAUGACAAUGAUGAUGGUGAUGACAACGAUGAUGAUGAUGAUGAUGAAAGUGGCAAUGACGACUGAUGAUUAUGAUGAUGAGGAGGAGGAGGAGGAGGAGAGGGGCAAUGACGACUGAUGAUGAUUAUGGUGAUGAUGAUGAUGAUGACGAUGACGACGAUGAUGAUGAAAGUAGCAAUGACGAUGAUAAUUUGUUCCUACCAAGUAAAAGUUCACUUCACCUGUAUAACACACCAUUCAAGCUACAGAAGAAUUAACUGGUUGUCAGAACCAAGGCCUUACAAGAGAAGUCAUUCAAAUGCAUAUUGAGAACACCCUGAUGCACAGAGGUUGUUUACAACUUUAUGACCACAAAGAAAAUCAUGGCAGACUGUGAAGUGAAGAUCCUUACCCAAGGCCUUCAUCCCUUCAAAUUUUUUUCUUUGUAAACUUAUUUAUUGGCUUUAGUUUGUAUCAAACAAUAAAAUUUUUAUGCCAGAAACCUUA